rnacentral:tRNA from 1 species
UAAGACCUGCAGGAUACUAACCUACAUAUUUCGAAUGCAACUCAAAUUCUUUUAUUAAGAUAAAGUCU